rnacentral:rRNA from 1 species
GGAUUUAUUGGGUUUAAAGGGAGCGUAGAUGGAUGUUUAAGUCAGUUGUGAAAGUUUGCGGCUCAACCGUAAAAUUGCAGUUGAUACUGGAUGUCUUGAGUGCAGUUGAGGCAGGCGGAAUUCGUGGUGUAGCGGUGAAAUGCUUAGAUAUCACGAAGAACUCCGAUUGCGAAGGCAGCCUGCUAAGCUGCAACUGACAUUGAGGCUCGAAAGCGUGGGUAUCAAACAGGAUUAGAUACCCUGGUAGUCCACACGGUAAACGAUGAAUACUCGCUGUUUGCGAUAUACGGCAAGCGGCCAAGCGAAAGCGUUAAGUAUUCCACCUGGGGAGUACGCCGGCAACGGUGAAACUCAAAGGAAUUGACGGGGGCCCGCACAAGCGGAGGAACAUGUGGUUUAAUUCGAUGAUACGCGAGGAACCUUACCCGGGCUUAAAUUGCACUCGAAUGAUCCGGAAACGGUUCAGCUAGCAAUAGCGAGUGUGAAGGUGCUGCAUGGUUGUCGUCAGCUCGUGCCGUGAGGUGUCGGCUUAAGUGCCAUAACGAGCGCAACCCUUGUUGUCAGUUACUAACAGGUGAUGCUGAGGACUCUGACAAGACUGCCAUCGUAAGAUGUGAGGAAGGUGGGGAUGACGUCAAAUCAGCACGGCCCUUACGUCCGGGGCUACACACGUGUUACAAUGGGGGGUACAGAGGGCCGCUACCACGCGAGUGGAUGCCAAUCCCUAAAACCCCUCUCAGUUCGGACUGGAGUCUGCAACCCGACUCCACGAAGCUGGAUUCGCUAGUAAUCGCGCAUCAGCCACGGCGCGGUGAAUACGUUCCCGGGCCUUGUACACACCGCCCGUCAAGCCAUGGGAGCCGGGGGUACCUGAAGUGCGUAACCGCGAGGAUCGUCCUAGGGUAAAACUGGUGACUGGAGCGAAGUCGUAACAAGGUAGCCG